AAAGCAUUGAUCAUGAGGUGCGUGUUCCGCAGUUGAGGAGGUGAGCGGUGGUGCUGCCGGCUUUGGGGCUUAUGCAGUCUCCGUAGCCGCUGUUGUUUAGGGCUUCUAGCCCGCCUCUCCGUUCAGGCGAGUCCUGACCGAGCAAUGGCCGUCUUGGUGCGUGUUCCCGAGGCACUGUGUCCCCAUGAGGAAGCGCUCACAGCACAGAUGCUGGCUUCUGGAAUCUUGAAACUCCAAAUGUCUGUGCUAGUGAUGGCCUCGUUUGGUUUUCUGGGCUACACACGGGCUGAGAUCUUCACAUCUGCUGGCUUUUUUUCCCUCCUUAAAUACGCUUACUCCUUGGAAGGAAAGUUAUGACCAACCUAGACAGCACAUUGAAAAGCAGAGGCAUUACUUUUUCAACAAAGGUCCGUCUAGUCAAGGUUGUGGUUUUUCCAGUGGUCAUGUAUGGAUGCGAGAGUUGGACUGUGAAGAAAGCUGAGCGCCGAAGAAUUGAUGCUUUUGAACUGUGGUGUUGGAGAAGACUCUUGAGAGUCCCUUGGACUGCAAGGAGAUCCAACCAGUCUAUUCUAAAGGAGAUCAGUCCUGGGUGUUCAUU
ensembl:lncRNA